UACGUAGGGUGCGAGCGUUGUCCGGAAUUACUGGGCGUAAAGAGCUCGUAGGUGGUUUGUCGCGUUGUCCGUGAAAAACUCACAACUCAAUUGUGGGCGUGCGGGCGAUACGGGCAGACUGGAGUACUGCAGGGGAGACUGGAAUUCCUGGUGUAGCGGUGGAAUGCGCAGAUAUCAGGAGGAACACCGGUGGCGAAGGCGGGGUCUCUGGGCAGUAACUGACGCUGAGGAGCGAAAAGCGUGGGGGAGCGAACAGG
rnacentral:rRNA from 1 species